ACAGUCUGGGCAGGGCAGAGUGAGAAGGGUGAGGAGGCUCCCGGCUUUGCUGCCACUUGGCCGUCCUGCCUGAUACCCUGCAUUUGCUUCUAGUAAACGGAGCUGUGAGGCCGAGGUGCUGCAGCUGACACGUGCUUCCAUGUUUCCCAUAGUGGACCAGGAGCACCAUUUCCAAGACAAAUAUUUAUUCUAUCGAUUUCUGGAUGAUGAGAACGAGGAUGCCCCUUUGCCUACUGAGGAGGAGAAGAAGGAGUGUGAUGAGGAGCUCCAGGACACCAUGCUGCUGCUGUCACAGAUGGGCCCCGAUGCCCACAUGAGGAUGAUCCUCCGCAAACCACCUGGCCAGAGGACUGUGGAUGACCUAGAGAUUAUCUAUGAGGAGCUUCUUCAUAUUAAAGCCUUAUCCCAUCUUUCUACCACAGUGAAACGAGAGUUAGCGGGUGUUCUCAUUUUUGAGUCUCAUGCCAAAGGAGGGACUGUGUUGUUUAACCAGGGGGAAGAAGGUACCUCCUGGUACAUUAUUCUAAAAGGAUCAGUGAAUGUAGUCAUUUAUGGAAAGG
rnacentral:sRNA from 1 species